ACUCCUGUGCCUGGCUUACUGUUUGGGGAUGAUCUUACUCAAGCUACCAAACAGAUUGAGGAGGCCGAAAGGCUGAAGAACAAGUUUACCCACAAGAAGACUUCCCAUUUUGGAGCUCCCAGGUCUUGGGAAGUUAAGUGGUGGUAAGCAACGUGGUUUCUUUGGGAAGCCAGCUUUCUGGGGUAUGUCUACCCGGUUUAAACCUUACGGCUUACACAAACCUGCCACCAGAGGGGACGGCCGCCCUACUUAUCACAGAGGGAACUCCUCUUCAAAAAACCCAAGGGGCCGGGGACACUACAAUCCCCGGCAGUAAUUCAGGUAAGGAAUGACUUUGAAGCGGGUCAGCUUCAUAAGUUUAUUGGUGAAUGGUGCAAACUUACUAGUGAUCCUUUCAUUUUGGACAUUGUUAAACAUUGCCAUCUUGAGAUUGAUGAACAGAACAUUACUCAUUUAUUUUCUGAGGAAGUGGAAUACAAAUUUAGUGAUGAGGAGAAAGUUAUUAUGACUAAUGAAAUAGAUAAAUUGUUGAGCCAGAAGGUUAUCAAAGAGACUCACAGACAGGUGGGCCAGAUUAUUUCACCAGUUUUCUUGAGAGAGAAAAAAGAGGGUGGCUACAGGUUGGUGCUUAACUUGAAGAAACUCAACAAAUUCAUGAAUUAUAUCCAUUUCAAAAUGGAAAAUUUUGAGCAGGCAAUUAGGCUAAUCAGUUCUAGCGCUUUCAUGGCUUCGGUGGAUCUGAAGCAUGCUUAUUAUUCAGUCAAAAUUGCAGAGGAGCAGCAAAAAUACCUUUGUUUUAAAUGGGCAGGGAAGAUAUACCAAUUCACUUGCCUUCCUAAUGGUGCUUCUGCAGGUCCUCGUCUUUUCACUAAACUUUUGAAGCUGAUUUUUUCUUUUUUGAGAUUGAAAGGCUACACCAUUACUUCCUUUAUAGAUGAUACUCUUAUGUGUAGCAAGUCAGUUGAGGAUUGUGUUGCUUGUUUAAAGGAUACUGUGGAAAUUUUGCAAAAUGUGGGGUUUUGUAUUAAUGUGGACAAGUCAGUUUUGGUGCCUACAAAACGCAUAGAAUAUCUUGGCAAUAUCAUCGAUUCUGAAGCCAUGACUGUCACACUCCCUGCUCGUAGAGUGAGGAAGAUUGUGGAAAGUUGUUCAUCCUUGGCCAGUAGAAAUAAGGCAAAGAUCAGAGAGGUAGCUCGAGUAGUUGGCAUGUUGGUAGCUGCCAUUCCGGCCGUUGAAUUAGGUAAGCUCCAUUACAGAAUUUUAGAAAAGGCCAAAAUUGUUGCAUUAAAGGUAGGAAAGGGCAACUUUGACAAAUUUAUGACUAUCUCAAAGGAAAUGAAAAUGGAGCUGAGUUGGUGGAUCUCUGAAGUAGGUACGCAAGUUCGGAAAAUUAUUCGGACUGCUCCUUCUGUUGAAGUUUUUACUGAUGCCUCAGAUUUAGGUUGGGGUGGUUGUGUAUUAAAGCAUUCCACCAAUGGUAAAUGGACAACAGAAGAAAGUUGCCUACACAUUAAUGCAAGGGAACUCAAGGCCAUCUUGUUUACCCUUCAAUCUUUUGCUUACUUGCUUAAAGGCUGCCAUGUUAAAGUUAUGUGUGAUAGUACCACAGCCAUUGCUUAUGUUAAUGAGAUGGGUGGAACUAAAUCACUAGUGUGUAACUCUAUCUGCAUUGAUAUCUGGAAUUGGUGUAAUUCCAAUGACAUCUGGAUUACUUGUGCACACAUACCAGGAAAGAAGAAUGUGUUGGCGGAUGAAGCCUCUCGUAAUUUUAAUGACAGACAUGAAUGGAAACUUAAUCCAAAGAUUUUUAAAGAGUUGUGUGUAGUUUUUGGAACUCCCUCCAUUGACUUAUUUGCUUCUCGCUUAAACAAGCAAAUAGAUUGUUUUUGCUCGUGGAGACCUGAUCCUGAAGCAAAGCAUGUGGAUGCGUUCACAUUAAAUUGGGCCAGUUUCGAUCUGAUUUACCUUUUCCCACCAUUUUCUCUCAUUACUAGGUGUCUACAGAAAAUGAGGGAGGAGAGAGCCAAGGGGUGGAUGGUUGUUCCAAUGUGGAAUUCCCAACCUUGGAUGGGCCCUCUUCUGCAAAUGUUGAUCAAGGCCCCCAGGCUCAUCACUCAGAAAACAAAUGUACUACGACAUCCCUCAUCAGCGGAAGAACACCCGAUUAUGACCCACACCCAAUUGAUGGCAUGUCUUUUGUCAGGCAACAACUUAGAGGGAGAGGUGUAUCGUCAGAAGGUACAGAGAUUAUCAUGGCAUCGUGGAGACCAGGUAUGCUGAAACCUGGGAUGUGCAGCCAGUAUUGCAGAAGCUGAGAUCCAUGAGCCCAUUACAAGACCUAUCUUUGAAAUCUUUAACUUUGAAAUUGGUGAUGCUUAUGGCAUUGACUCAAGCUGCAAGAGUACAGACCUUACAUUUAUUAUUGUAUUCCAAUGCUAUUGUUGAUAACAAUUCUGUAUCUCUUUUGUUAGGGGGCAACAUUAAGCAGUGUCGUCCGAAGUUUAAUGUGAGAAUGCUUAAGUUUCAUGCUUAUUUACCUGAUUCUAGAAUGUGUGUUGUAAAUACCUUGAAGGAAUAUAUUAACAGAACGGAGAAUCUGAGAAAGGAACUUGGGAAGGAUAAUGGGAAACUCCUCAUCAGUGUGGUGAAGCCACAUAAAAGUGUUUCCAAAGCCAGCCUCUGCUUCCAAGGCCAAAGCCAUGGAUGCCCCAGUUAACAUUAUCUUAUCUAAGGCAGGUUGGACUCAGGAGACAACCUUUGCUAAACACUAUAAUAAGGAGAUCACUCAGGUUUCAGAUUUUUUUCAAGAGGCCAUACUGGAUUCUGUAUUGUAAUGUUAACAGGUUUCUCUAUUCAUUUGCGUUGGAUCUCAAUUGACAUAUUUUGUUUGUUUUAUACAUGUACUAUAUGUUUUUGUAAGGGACAUAUCUGUUUAAGGAGGAGGAUUUUUCAUACAAUGAAGUUGGGAUACAUA